GCGUACUCUCAACAAAUUGAACAAGAUGUUCAGAAAUAUUCAAAGUCUUUAACGGAUAUGAGAACUACCAUGAGUUUUUUCCAAACAAAAGACAUGAAUGAGCUGUUAGAGUUCCACAAGAAAUUAGAAUCCAUUCUUGAACACUUGACUGAUGAGACACAGGGUUUUAUCAAGGUUUGAAGGAUUCCCUACAAAGAAGUUAGAAACAAUGAGGACAGCAGCAGCACUCGAAAUUAAAUCCAAUGAUCUUAGAACUACACAAUUGGAAAAUAGAGGCUCCCCUAUGUCCGUUCCUUGACAAGACUGAGCGUUAUUUCACCAAGAUCAAAAGGAGAGAUAGAUAAACUAGAGCAAACAAAAGAUGAAGAAACUAAGAAAUUUCAAAGUCAAAAGAUCCAUGACUUCAGUAUCUUCCCAGGCUGCAUGGAGCUGACACUAA